GGAGUCCGGCCGCGGGCCAUGGAAAACCUUCCGCCGCGCUGCGAACUGCACUUACGGCGUUCCACUCUCGGCAGGGGAGACGCUGCAAGCUCGGGGCUCGAUUCAGGAGUCCAGAAGGAGAGCUCCAGGCGUCUAACGACCUUGCAACAUUUCUGUGUGUGGCCGCUUGUGACGGCUGGGGCGGGCUGUGGGCACGCGUGUGCAAGGUGGGUUCAGCCCUGGAGAAGAGAGGCAGUGGCUUGGGAGCAGGAGGGACUGGGAUGGAUGAAUCACGGAUCCCCGGAGCAGGUGUGCGCACAGCAGUGGUGUGAAAGGAUUGUGUUUCAUUGUGGGCAAGAGACCAGAACGGACUGGAGGGAGACCCAUGAAUAUUAACUGCCAGAAGGGACAAAUCCUGGUAGAUUCUUCCGGACUGUUGGUCAUGUGUGGUAGCUUUGGGAUCCACAAGGAGAGAAGGCCUAUACUUCCGGGAAUGGAGAGUCCCUCCCGGCACUUCCGGGCAAGAAAAGUCCUUGUCAAGGUCCUCUAAGGUGCCUAAAGGUCAAGCAGUGAGGAUCAGACCCGCCUCGACCUUUAACCCCCACGCCCUGUAUCUAUAAAAGGAGCCCUCCCAACCUCUCACACGACUUCCCCGGCCCCGCUCUGUUGCUCUGUCAGACCGGUGAACCUCACCCGGCAGCGGAAUCCCAAUAAAAGCUUGUGAAUUAAUUGAUUUAUCUGCUUGGGAAGAUGUGUUAUGCGCUGGACACCUUGCAAUGUGUUGCGAGAGGGUUUGUGCUUGAAACUGUCACCAAAAGAGUGAAACAUAUUAAAAUACGAAAGUGGUUAGUGAAUGUACCCAAAUGACAGCAAUAGGGCAGAGGAUUAUACUAUUCUGGCUUUGAGGUUGUGUGUGUGUGUUUGAGAAAUCAUGAGAUUUGGUGUUUAAAUAUGUGACAUAUGUGAGUUAAAAUCUGCUCGAAAAACUGUGAAGAUUUUAUUUAAAUGUAUCUACACAGGGAGUAAGAAAUUCAUGAAAAAUGGAAUUAAAAGUUUAUUUUCAUGCAAAAA